GAGACAAGAUCUGGUUUGAAUGUACAGUCAGCAUCUUGUUUCUCAGAAGGUGGCAAAGUUGGCAUGAUAGCAACUCAGUAUGAGAACAGUCUAUUCUCAAGCUCAUUAUCAGAAUUAUUUAGUAGAAAGUUGAGGUUAUCCUCAAACAAUGUACCAUAUGGCCAUUCUGUUGAUACUGUCGCUUCCCAUUUCGAGGAAGAGGAACCUUUUGAAUCCCUUGAAGAAAUUGAGGCCCAAACCAUUGGAAAC
rnacentral:misc_RNA from 1 species